rnacentral:rRNA from 1 species
GACGAACGCUGGCGGCGUGCUUAACACAUGCAAGUCGAACGGAAAGGCCCUGCUUUUGUGGGGUGCUCGAGUGGCGAACGGGUGAGUAACACGUGAGUAACCUGCCCUUGACUUUGGGAUAACUUCAGGAAACUGGGGCUAAUACCGGAUAGGAGCUCCUGCGGCAUGGUGGGGGUUGGAACGUUUCGGCGGUUGGGGAUGGACUCGCGGCUUAUCAGCGUGUUGGUGGGGUAGUGGCUUACCAAGGCUUUGACGGGUAGCCGGCCUGAGAGGGUGACCGGCCAAAUUGGGAAUGAGAUACGGCCCAGAGUUCUACGGGAGGCAGCAGUGGGGAAUAUUGCACAAUGGGCGGAAGGCUGAUGCAGCAACGCCGCGUGCGGGAUGACGGCCUUCGGGUUGUAAACCGCUUUCGCCUGUGACGAAGCGUGAGUGACGGUAAUGGGUAAAGAAGCACCGGCUAACUACGUG